GGAAAAAAGAGAUCACAUCUACCCAAAUAACCUUGUGUGCCCUUUAUUUAAAAAAUUUGGGGAUCAGGACCUAAACUAAGACAAUUUCUGACCACUGACUGUGACCCAUAAACAGAGGGAAAAUAAAGUCUAAAAUCCUAUUGGUGAAAGCACUGGACCAAAGGACUCAUUCAGCAAGGACAUUUCAUGCCUGAAGGACCAUGUG